CAAUAGCGUAUAUUAAAGUUGUUGCAGUUAAAAAGCUCGUAGUUGGAUUUGUGGCGUACGGUGUGUUCCGGGCACUUGUUGUCUGAGUAACCUGCUGUUGCCAUCCUUGGGUGGAACCUGUGUGGCAUUAGGUUGUCGUGCAGGGGAUGCCCAUCAUUUACUGUGAAAAAAUUAGAGUGUUCAAAGCAGGCUUAUGCCGUUGAAUAUAUUAGCAUGGAAUAAUGAGAUAGGACUUUCUUGCUAUUUUGUUGGUUUGCGCAAAGAGGUAAUGAUUAAUAGGGACAGUUGGGGGUAUUCGUAUUCCAUUGUCAGAGGUGAAAUUCUUGGAUUUUUGGAAGACGAACUACUGCGAAAGCAUCUACCAAGGAUGUUUUCAUUAA
rnacentral:rRNA from 1 species